GAUGAACGCUGGCGGCGUGCCUAAUACAUGCAAGUCGAGCGAACAGACGAGGAGCUUGCUCCUCUGAUGUUAGCGGCGGACGGGUGAGUAACACGUGGAUAACCUACCUAUAAGACUAGGAUAACUUCGGGAAACCGGAGCUAAUACCGGAUAACCUGUUGAACCGCAUGGUUCAACAGUGAAAGACGGUCUUGCUGUCACUGAUAGAUGGACCCGCGCCGCAUUAGCUAGUUGGUAAGGUAACGGCUUACCAAGGCAACGAUGCGUAGCCGACCUGAGAGGGUGAUCGGCCACACUGGAACUGAGACACGGUCCAGACUCCUACGGGAGGCAGCAGUAGGGAAUCUACCGCAAUGGGCGAAAGCCUGACGGAGCAACGCCGCGUGAGUGAAGAAGGUCUUCGGAUCGUAAAACUCUGUUAUUAGGGAAGAACAAAUGUGUAAGUAACUAUGCACGUCUUGACGGUACCUAAUCAGAAAGCCACGGCUAACUACGUGCCAGCAGCCGCGGUAA
rnacentral:rRNA from 1 species